AAAAUCUUAAUUUAAUUAAAAUAUUAAAUUGUCAAUUUAAAAAUAUAUCCUUAGAUUUUA
rnacentral:tRNA from 1 species